AGGACGAACGCUGGCGGCGUGCUUAACACAUGCAAGUCGAGCGAUGAAGCUUUCUUCGGAAAGUGGAUUAGCGGCGGACGGGUGAGUAACACGUGGGUAACCUGCCUCAUAGAGGGGAAUAGCCUUUCGAAAGGAAGAUUAAUACCGCAUAAGAUUGUAAUAUCGCAUGAUAUAGCAAUUAAAGGAGUAAUCCGCUAUGAGAUGGACCCGCGUCGCAUUAGCUAGUUGGUGAGGUAACGGCUCACCAAGGCGACGAUGCGUAGCCGACCUGAGAGGGUGAUCGGCCACAUUGGGACUGAGACACGGCCCAGACUCCUACGGGAGGCAGCAGUGGGGAAUAUUGCACAAUGGGGGAAACCCUGAUGCAGCGACGCCGCGUGGAGGAAGAAGGUCUUCGGAUUGUAAACUCCUGUUGUUGGGGAAGAUAAUGACGGUACCCAACAAGGAAGUGACGGCUAACUACGUG
rnacentral:rRNA from 1 species